GGUCAUUCAAACCCAAAGGAUCCACGACCUACAGGUUGCAAACCAUUGUCUGACAAGACUAAACAUCUCCUUAUGUCCAGGGGUCCUCAAGGCAGCCCCCCACCGCCUUACUGGUAUUUGAAGAGCAGUACGAACUGUGUCUUGUGAAGAAGAUCUCUGAGCAGAGAAGGUUACUUCCGUGUCAGCACCUCAGGUCACAGGCAGCUGGACUUCCAGGAUCCUCAUGACCCGCUCAUGCUAUCAUGUAGCUGAUGAAAGUCUCUGAUUCAACUUAUCCAAAAGGGAACACUCCUCGGUGCUAGAGAUGCAACGGAAAAGAGGCAUUCCAAAUUCCUAAUUAUGAAGCUCAAACAGGAAACUUGAGGUAAGGAAGGGGAUCAGUGAGAUAG
rnacentral:lncRNA from 1 species